CCUGGUGGCUCAGAGGGUAAAGCAUCUGCCUGCAAUGUAGGAGACCUGGGUUCGAUCCCUGGGUCAGGA
rnacentral:tRNA from 1 species